CACAAGGUAGAUAGGACAGAGGUGGAAGUGUGGUAACACAUGUAGCUGACUGUUACUAAUAGGUCGAGGGCUUGACCUAA
rnacentral:rRNA from 1 species